UACGUAGGGUGCGAGCGUUGUCCGGAAUUAUUGGGCGUAAAGAGCUUGUAGGCGGUUUGUCGCGUCUGCCGUGAAAAUCCGAGGCUCAGCCUCGGACUUGCGGUGGGUACGGGCAGACUAGAGUGUGGUAGGGGAGACUGGAAUUCCUGGUGUAGCGGUGAAAUGCGCAGAUAUCAGGAGGAACACCGAUGGCGAAGGCAGGUCUCUGGGCCACUACUGACGCUGAGAAGCGAAAGCAUGGGGAGCGAACAGG
rnacentral:rRNA from 1 species